AUUGAACGCUGGCGGCAGGCCUAACACAUGCAAGUCGAACGAGUGGCGGACGGGUGAAUAAUGUCUGGGACACUGCCUGAUGGCGGGGGAUAACUACUGGAACCGGUAGUUAAUACCGCAUACCAUCCGAUGUUCCCAGAUGGGAUUAGCUAUUUGGUGGGGUAACGGCUCACCAAGGCGACGAUCCCUAGCUGGUCUGAGAGGAUGACCAGCCACACUGGAACGGAGAAACGGUCCAGACUCCUACGGGAGGCAGCAGUGGGGAAUAUUGCACAAUGGGCGAAAGCCUGAUGCAGCCAUGCCGCGUGUAUGAAGAAGGCCUUCGGGUUGUAAAGUACUUUCAGCGGGGAGGCGUUACCCGCAGAAGAAGCACCGGCUAACUCCGUGCCAGCAGCCGCGGUAAUAC
rnacentral:rRNA from 1 species